rnacentral:rRNA from 1 species
GAUGAACGCUGGCUACAGGCUUAGCACAUGCAAGUCGAGGGGAAACGACGGGGAAGCUUGCUUCCCCGGGCGUCGACCGGCGCACGGGUGAGUAACGCGUAUCCAACCUGCCUCUGACUGAGGGAUAACCCGUCGAAAGUCGGCCUAAUACCUCAUGGUAUCGUCUGCGGGCAUCCAACGACGAUUAAAGAUUUCAUCGGUCAGGGAUGGGGAUGCGUCUGAUUAGCUUGUUGGCGGGGUAACGGCCCACCAAGGCUACGAUCAGUAGGGGUUCUGAGAGGAAGGUCCCCCACAUUGGAACUGAGACACGGUCCAAACUCCUACGGGAGGCAGCAGUGAGGAAUAUUGGUCAAUGGGCGAGAGCCUGAACCAGCCAAGUAGCGUGCAGGAAGACGGCCCUAUGGGUUGUAAACUGCUUUUAUGCGGGGAUAAAGUGAGGGACGUGUCCCUCAUUGCAGGUACCGCAUGAAUAAGGACCGGCUAAUUCCGUG